UAUAGAUCGUGAUUUCCGGGAUCCAAGUUUUGGGCUCCAGCUUCAUGAGACUGAAUUUUGUUCAAGGCUAACAGUGAAAAUUUUAUUUGUAAAAUAUGGCGAUCCCUAUAGUGGUAUUUCUGAAGCUUCGCUAUGCUUGCUUUCCCACCAACAAGCAGUAAUCCAAUCACUGGUGCACCAGCGGCCAUCCACCAGGACGAUGCUGACAGCCAAAGAAAGCUCCUUCCCCACCGCUGACAGCCGAAACCGCUCUUGUGCUCAUCAAGGUCCCUUUCACCUCUCUAACCUCUGUGUUAACUCUGUCUG